rnacentral:rRNA from 1 species
GAUGAACGCUGGCGGCGUGCCUAAUACAUGCAAGUCGAGCGAACGGACGAGAAGCUUGCUUCUCUGAUGUUAGCGGCGGACGGGUGAGUAACAAGUGGAUAACCUACCUAUAAGACUGGGAUAACUUCGGGAAACCGUAGCUAAUACCAGAUAAUAUUUUAAACCGCAUGGUUCAAAAGUGCAAGACGAUCUUGCUGUAACUUAUAGAUGGAUCCGCGCUGCAUUAGCUGGUUGGUAAGGUAACGGCUUACCAAGGCAACGAUGCGUAGCCGACCUGAGAGGUUGAUCGGCCACAAUGGAACUGAGACACGGUCCAGACUCCUACGGGAGGCAGCAGUAGGGAAUCUUCCGCAAUGGGCGAAAGCCUGACGGAGCAACGCCGCGUGAGUGAUGAAGGUCUUCGGAUCGUAAAACUCUGUUAUUAGGGAAGAACAUAUGUGUAAGUAACUGUGCACGUCUUGACGGUACCUAAUCAGAAAGCCACGGCUAACUACGUG